ensembl:miRNA predicted gene, 44403
AGUAAAUACAUUUGAUAUUGUGUACCAUGUAGGCAAUGUGGGAACAUUCGGUGCUAAUAUUUUUAGAAGUCCUUUGUUAUUCAAGCAUGGCUUUUCUGGGGUUACAAGUAGUUGUACAUUAAUAUUAUC